AUCAUAAUCUACAGAGGAGAUAGUGCAGCCUUGUCUUGCUUCUGGCCAUAAAUGGAAAGCAUUUUUCACAGAUGAAUCUGUGCCUUUUGUGUAUCCUUUUAGUAAUAUGAAGGAAGAAUAUGGCAUUGGCAGAGAGACCAGAUCUUCAAGAUCUCAGCACUCAGAAAUGAAAAUGUGUGUUAAUGUGGUAAUCCACUGGGAAAGGACUCUUCACAUGAUGCCAGACUGACAAAAAUGCAGGAAAAAUUACAUUGACCAAGUAUUAAUACCUGAAAUGCAUUUAUGAGUUUUAAGACCUGGCAUUGAGAUAUGUCAACUCUUGGUAGUACCUCAUUUGAUUUAGAAGGAGAUGAUGAGCAUCAAAAUCCUUCCUAUGGAGUUGCUUCAAUUAUGGCAAGCUAACCACAGGGCAAAGAAAAUGCUCUUGCUUCAUCUACAGAGAGAAUGCUGUCCAGAAAAUGCUCUUACUUCAUCUACAGAGAGAAUGCUGUCCAGAAAAUGUUCUUACUUCAUCUACAGAGAGAAUGCUGUCCAGAAAAUGCUUUUACUUCAUCUACAGAGAGAAUGCUGUCCAGAAAAUGCUCUUACUUCAUCUACAGAGAGAAUGCUGUCCAGAAAAUGCUCUUACUUCAUCUACAGAGAGAAUGCUGUCCAGAAAAUGCUCUUGCUUCAUCUACAGAGAGAAUGCUAUCCAGAAAAUGCUCUUACUUCAUCUACAGAGAGAAUGCUGUCCAGAAAAUGCUCUUACUUCAUCUACAGAGAGAAUGCUGUCCAGAAAAUGCUCUUACUUCAUCUACAGAGAGAAUGCUGUCCAGAACGGACAGAAGAGAAGUCAGCUGCCAAGUUCUGCCUAGAUGAGUAAACAAGUCCUUCAUAAUUCCUGCUUCACAAAACGUCUGUCAGAUAUUCUGGACCAGAAGGAUGAAGAUAGAUGCUUCAGAGUUCUAGAGAAUAUUGGGGACUGUUCAGCCUUGGUGAGCUUCCAUUUAGCAGAAAUUGUUCCUAGCCCACAUGUCUGGAUCAGCCCCAAGAAGCUUCUAGAAGGUGGAUAACCGGAGCCACUUUAAAAAGGUGGCACAUGUGACAAGUGGGCACAAACAAACCUCCAAACAAAAUGGUCAUACUGGAAGCCUCUUCUUUCAAGAAGGAAAACACAGCAAAUGCAGAGUCACGGGCCUUGAACAGGCAGAAUGAUUACUGACUUCUGAGAACAAAAGAAUAUGAGAAAAGACUUUGGAGGUAAAACCCACAGAGAAGAGGCAUUGGGAUGCAUAAAUGACAUCACUUAUGCCAUCUGCUUCACUUUUAAAGUAGGAAACAACACAUUAUUCUGAAAUACUGCAUACAGUCAUACAGUGAGGACAGAUGACCGUCCCAGGCACCAAAAUGGCACAGUGAGUUCUGCCACCGUGAGCAAAACUGAUCUCACCAGGUCUGGAAGGCUCAUCAUGGUUCCAUGGAUCAAAGGCACCCUGGAUGCUCUGGACCUGUGCAAUUGAUCCUGACUUCAGGCUGAUUAUAGUGAGGUACUCCAGGGUUUGAACAUACUGAAAGACCAGCACACUCCUUAAUUAUAUUAUUCUACAUAAUCAUAUUAUGUAGCAAUUUUCAUCCAGUUAAAAUAUUCUUUACUUGAGGAAGUCUUCUUAAGGAUUAGGAGGCCUUAAGUGGAAACAUUGCUUCCAGAAAUGUUGAAGAGACUUCGGAAGCAAACUCGGAAGUCUCAAGAAGCUCCUGAAUCUGACAAGGCUCCGUUCCCCCUGCUUAGAGCAACCUGUGGAUCCUGAGAGAGGAAGCGAGGCCGGGAGGCUGGAGCGAAAGAGACUGAACAAACAGCAAUUGAGCAAGGCACAAACAGACUCUUGAGGCCGGUUCAGUGAGACAGCUCCUUCAAUGGGAGGAACAAAGGCUUUGAGGGCCAUAUUCACAUCUGGGAAGCACUCUGCUAGCAGCAUGAAAGCAGUUUUUGAAUAGAGAGUUAUUAAAAGGUUGGUGACCCAGGACUGGCAAUCCUGGGGUUGUCUUGAGUGACCAUUGCACUCGAUCAAGGGUUAUGAAACACAUAUCACGUGGGAUCUCUGAUGGUGAAAAUAACAUCAUCUCUCUAGCUGAUUGUGCGAAUCACACCAUCCCUCUAACCAACUGUGCAAACCCUGUCUCUUCCCUAUUGACCGAGGAAAUCACAUCAUCUCUCUAAAAUUAGUCUUCCUUUCUGAAAAGCAAGCCUAAGCGGAGGUCCUGUUCUGAUUUUCUGACCCGGUGGGUGACUGUGUUAGGGCAGCUUGCCUGUGUUUCUUUCUUUAUCAUUCUGUCUGCACUGUCUUUUAUUACUGUGUACUGUCAGCAGCAACAAUUUCCUCAAAGUUUAAAAUAGCAAAAGUGUACAAAGGUGGAAAAAAAAAUACAAAGCUUUAUCUUGCCCUCUAAGAAGCCCCAUGGUGUGACUUUCCCAGGUACUUCAGAUCUCCUGGAGACCUGUAACGUGUCCUCGUAUCUUUACCUUCUUUGGAUGGUAGGAACUCACAUCUACAAGGCUGUAUUUCAAGAGGAGAUGACAGACAUUUGUGAGAUUUUAGUGUUUCUAGCAUUGCCCUUGUCAUUUAAUGACUCCUCCCCAAGUGUGGCACUCAGCAUGGUGGUGCUGACUUCAGCUCCAGUCAUGUUUGAUCUCUUGCCUUCAUGCUGAAUGACUAUUCCAUGUCUCCGGGGCACUGUGUUUUUCUGUUGCUAUCCUAGUUCCUUAGUGCCACCCUGGCUUUUCUCUAAAGUGCUGCCACCACCCCUGCAGUGCUCACCAAACACUGUCAACAACCUCUCUUGAGUUUACACAGCCACCCCUCUUAUCCCUGACUGCCUGCAGCAAAAAGAAAGAAAUUGCGCCUCCAUCUUCCUCCCUCCCAGCUGUCAGCACUGUGCUAAAAACAAAACCCUUCAGCUUCCUAAACAAACAAGCUUGCAGUAUUCAGAAUGUGUCCCGGUAUGUGGUCAUAUAUUUCUGUAAGGUUCUUUAAGGACACAGGUCUUUCAAAACCAUUUCAAUGUAUGCUACAUGAGAGAUGAUUAUGUUUAACCCCAAGGUAGGAAGAGUGGUCCUGCUGCUUGGCUGGCUGUAUCUUCUGAGGUGCAUAAUUGGCUGCUCUGGUUCACAGGAAUAAAUUUCAUCUUAAAAUCUGU
ensembl:antisense Gm17094 predicted gene 17094